UAAAACUCGUGAGAAACUUUUUUUUUAAUUGCAUAUAGAAGUUGAGCAGAAGAAAUUUGUUGUUAUAGCCACAUUAACAAAACACAUUUUUACAGACCAACUUACAGCUCAUGAAAAAGGCUUUUUUAUAUGAAUGGCUUUACCACCAUAUGGUUGCUGUGAAGUCACUUGUCAGCCUAGGACAAGUAGAGUGUGAUCUCACAGAGAAGCUCAUGGAGUCUCACGAAAAUCUGCUCAAUGGUGAGGGGAGUCAGAAAAUGUUUUAAAAGGACAACUUUUACCCUGAUUAUAAUAGCAUUUUAGAGAAUUUUAAGUGUGGGAAGCAUAGAUGUGACAACAUAGUACAUCCAAGGAUAGCUAACAGAAAUGUAUCAAUAGGAAUAACAGAACCGAUGACUCAACAAUGAUUGGUAAUUAGGUUCUACAAUAAGCUGCAUAAUAUCAGAGAAAUGAAGAUAUUGUUAAUUGUUUUUAAGAGACUCCUCAGAGGCCAAAAAUGAUUCCCCGACUGGCCUAAGCAAAACCAUAAUGGAAGUUAAGCUGUUGGCACAGAGAAGCAAACAAGCAGCAGGAAUCUAGAUGUUCAUCUUUUCCUUUGUGAAGUCCAUACUGUGUGCAAGAUCCAUGGUUAAGAUGAUAGAGGGAGUGGGCUUAGGUCUCAUCCUAUGAGCUUGUGCUGAUUUGCUGAUUUACAUAUCUCCACUGGCGAAAAUCAUAUCUGUUCCUUAGGUCCAAUUUUCAAGUUCCAAGCAUUGGCAGUGUGACCACAAAUAUCUAUGAUCUGAUGCUUUAUUUGAUUUUUGUGUGUUUGUUUUAAUGGAAGUGUAGAAAGGGAGGGAAGAAGGGAGGGGAAUAUUUGAUUUGCUGUCUAGCCAACACAAUUCUAAAAAGCAUUAAGUGGAAACUGCUACAAGUGUUUAUUUUCUAACUCUUUCUGGUAUAAUGGGAACAGUCAAGAUCUGAACAAGAGUCGAUAUAAGGUUUGCGGUUUAUGAUAAGCAUAUCAGCCAGUGGAUAGACUAAACCCCAGUGACAGCUGUGAUGGUUCUUGGAAUCAGACAUCCUUCAAUAACAUGUUUCCCCAAAGCUUAUAGACAUUGUUGUAGAAUAGGGUCAAGGCUUAUGGCAGAUGUUGAAUGUCUCUGAGCUAUAUGAAAUUUCUCUCUGUGGAUUCGUGCCUAACAACCAUUACAUCAAACCACAGGUACAAUGAAGCCCAUUUUCCUUUUUGACGUGAUACUGUUGUUAUUUUAGAGGCAAAGCCUUAUGCUAUUGCUAGCUGAAAAAGACACUAAAAGCCAAAAGAGUGCAGGCACAGAAUUGGGAACAAUUGGGCUAUAGUGACCAUGAAAACAUAAAGCAAUGAUUUUACCCAGCACAAACCAUGUAGGUCAUUACAGUAUGGUGUCUUGGAACAAGGACACCUAAAAUAACAAUGAUCAUUGCUUAAAAAAAUUAAUUUUGUGGAAAUUCUUAUAAUGUUAACAUACUUCAUAGAUAUGAUUCUACCCAACUGUGACCUUUGUUAUGAUAGCAAAUGAUCAUUUUUUUCAUAGAAAAAGAAAACUCGACUGCUUAAUUGAUUGAUUCAUUAAAAGAAAUCUUGUAAUUGAACUAUCAUGCCAAGUUUACUAUGAGCAUCUGAUAAAAGAAAGUAAGAUGAUAAACAGCAACGGGUCAGAUGGCUUCCAAAUAUCAGUGAACGUCCAUAAUACCUAUUGAACUACUUGUAAUUCAUCAAUAAAUACUGGAUGGAUAGAAAUACCCUUGGUAAUGUGGAUAAAGUUAAAGGAAGUAAAAGUAAAAUUUCUGUACUCACUAGGCAUUCUUGGAAAAACUAAAUUUAUUUUAAGAAUAGUAACAGGAAAAUUGUAAGAAAAUACUAAGAAACAAAAAUUACAGGGCUGACUCAAAUUAUUAAUAAUGUUAAUAUAUAAAGCUGCCAUCUUAAUAGUUUAUAAAAAUGUUAUAUGUUAUCUCAUUUUAUAAGCACAAUAAUAAAAUGACUUGCCUCUCAUCAAUAUCAUACUCCUAUCAGAUCCUGGGUGAUAAUCCUAUCUUCCCGCCACCAGAGUACUCUUCUUUCCACACUUUUCUAUCAGUGAGCGACAGAAAAAAUUUAGAAAAGUUCAGUAGAAAAAUACACCUGAAAUUUGAUUACAGGAUGUAAAUGCCUUUGACCCUGAAUAUCAGAUAUGAUUUGCUCUCCAGGAUUUGUUGACCUUUGGUGGAAAAUAAUCUACCAGACCUUGUGAAGAACCAGGAGAAGGGUAACAGACAUCUAGCUGCUUGAUUCUAGUUCCAUUAAAGACUACUUCAAGGAGGAAGAAGAGUUUUCCUGAAAAUUGGCCAGAGGCCCCAGUUCACAGAAGUCCCUUUGCAGGUUGGCCUCUUUGUCUCCUACAUGGAAGGAAACUAUCAUCAUGUGUCCUCAAACCCCUGCAAUCCUGUCACUUUGCAAGAUGUAUCUAGCAGUUACCAAAAAAAAAAAAAAUGAAAUGGAUAUUCUACAAACUGCUAGAGAACAGAUGUCUUGAAUAGGCAAGACAAUACUCACAUGAUAUAUGGUUUACUUUUUCCUGAUGCGUUGUUUUGUUUUUGGUUCAGCGAAUAAAACAUACAUUCUCCUACGCGCAUUCUCAAGGACCAGAAGCAUUAUUUUAAAAAGUUCCUCCCAGGCUGGGCACAGUGGCUCACACCUGUAACCCCAGUACGUUGGGAGGCCAAGGCAGGUGGAUCACUUGAAGUCAGGAGUUCGAGACCAGCCUGACCAACAUGGUGAAACCCCGUCUCUACUAAAAAUACAAAAAUUAGCUGGGCAUGGUGGCACACACUUGUAAUCCCAGCUGCUUACGAGACUGAGGCAGGAGAAUCCCUUGAACCCAGGAGGUGGAGUUUGCGGUGAGCUGGGAUUGCGCCACUGCACUGCAGCCUGGGAGACAGAGCAAGACUCUGUCUAAAAUUAAUAAAUAAAUUAAUUAAUAAUCUAUUUUCAAGCAGAAAGGAAUAUCCAGUUUUUAAAACAUAUUCUGCAAUGUUAUUUGUCACAAAAAUAUUUAUAUAAUAGUGUACAUUUUUAUUUUUCUUUGUACUUAAUUUUUCUAAGUAUCAUUCUAAAUAUGGGAAUAAAUCAUUGCAAAGCAUUACAUUUGAAUAGUUUAGCAACAUUAGCCAGUAAUCUCAAAAUAUUGUUUAACUUCGACUUUUUUGUGACCAUUUAAAAAAGAAGUAUGCGUUUAAGUUACUACAUGAUGUACUCUAUGCCUGCUGUAAUCCUAUUAACAAAGUUUUUAAUUCUAGAAAAUAAUAGAAAGCCUAACAUUUUACUUCCUUUUAAAAAAACAUAAUAUUACAUAUAUAAAACUUUAUCAGAGUUAAUAUGAUAAGCUAAGCAGAAAAGUUUAAUAUUAUUUAUGGUUUCAUGAUGUGUAACAUGGUAAUUUGGGCCUUACCUAGUAAUAAACCUAGUUCAAAUCCAA